rnacentral:lncRNA from 1 species
GGAAUUCGAUGGUUUAACUACCGUUGGAUUCCUCUCGUCGAGCUCUUUCUUUGGUGGUGAUUUCAUUCAGUUUCGAGCGCGGAUCUGUUUCUGCAAUUUUUUUUCAUUCGAGGACGGUGGUCUUGCCGGAGCUUUAUUUUGUGUUCCACCCGUCGAAAUUUGACGGGUCAUCCACCGUUGGAUUCCUCUCGUCGGGAUCUAUAUUUUGAUGGUAAUUUCGUUUAUUUUUAUCUUUUCAGAUUUAUUUCUAUAUUUUUUUUGCAUUCCCCAGCAAUAACCUCUCUAUCUAUCUCUCGAUCUCUUAAUGUUUGGUGAUUUUUGAGUGUUUUGAUGUUUUUAUUCAAAUUUGUUGAUUUGCACUAAAGUAAUUUCUUUUUGUUUUGAUUUUGCAAUUGCAGCGUAAUGAAGGCCAUUGAUUCUUUCCUUGAAGGUGUCAAUUUUUUGUUUUUUUAAGUUACAUCAGAUCUGUUCAACAGACUGUAUACAUUACUAUGCAUUACUAUAGUAACAUGUAGUUACAUAUGCGUAUAUUUUAUGUAUUUUCGAUUUGUAUUUUAUUGGUUCUGAUGUGAUUUAUAAUAAAAAUAUUUAAAUUUGUAAAUUUUUGUUGGGGUUUUAUGAAUUUAUUUUGUAUAAGUCAGUAUUCGUGUGUGUAUACAAUUGAUCGACUAAAAAU